rnacentral:rRNA from 1 species
UCAGGCACGAAAGCAUGGGGAGCGAACGGGGAUUAGAUACCCCCGGUAGUCCAUGCCGUAAACGAUGGGUACUAGGUGUUUGGAGGAUUCUACCCCCUUUCAGUGCCGCAGCUAACGCAUUAAGUACCCCACCUGGGGAGUACGAUCGCAAGGUUGAAACUCCAAAGGAAUUGACGGGGGCCCGCACAAGCGGUGGAGCAUGUGGUUUAAUUCGAUGCAACGCGAAGAACCUUACCUGGGCUUGACAUGCAGGGGACAGGUGUAGAAAUACACCCUUCUUCGGAUCCCUGUACAGGUGCUGCAUGGCUGUCGUCAGCUCCGUGUCGUGAAAUGUUAGGUUAAGUCCUGCAACGAGCGCAACCCUUGUCUUUAGUUGCCAUCAGGUUAUGCUGGGGACUCUAGAGAGACUGCCGGUGACAAACCGGAGGAAGGUGGGGACGACGUCAAGUCAUCAUGGCCCUUACGCCCAGGGCUACACA